CCUACGGGUGGCAGCAGUGAGGAAUAUUGGUCAAUGGGCGGGAGCCUGAACCAGCCAAGUCGCGUGAGGGACGACGGUCCUAUGGAUUGUAAACCUCUUUUGUCGGGGAACAAAGGCGCCCACGGGUGGGCGGAUGAGUGUACCCGAAGAAAAAGCAUCGGCUAACUCCGUGCCAGCAGCCGCGGUAAUACGGAGGAUGCGAGCGUUAUCCGGAUUUACUGGGCGUAAAGCGCUCGUAGGCGGUAUGUCAAGUCAAGGGUGAAAUCCCCGCGCUCAACGUGGGAACUGCCUUUGAAACUGGCAAACUGGAGUGUGUGAGAGGAUAGUGGAAUUCCAGGUGUAGGAGUGAAAUCCGUAGAUAUCUGGAGGAACAUCAGUGGCGAAGGCGACUAUCUGGCACAUAACUGACGCUGAGGAGCGAAAGCGUGGGUAGCAAACAGGAUUAGAUACCCUUGUAGUC
rnacentral:rRNA from 1 species